UACGGAGGAUCUAAGCGUUAUCCGGAUUUAUUGGGUUUAAAGGGUGCGUAGGCGGCCCGUUAAGUCAGGGGUGAAAGACGGUAGCUCAACUAUCGCAGUGCCCUUGAUACUGACGGGCUUGAAUGUACUAGAGGUAGGCGGAAUGUGACAAGUAGCGGUGAAAUGCAUAGAUAUGUCACAGAACACCGAUUGCGAAGGCAGCUUGCUAUGGUACCAUUGACGCUGAGGCACGAAAGCGUGGGGAUCAAACAGG
rnacentral:rRNA from 1 species